UCCACUGGAUAAUACUGUCUGGAAUUGCAGUCCACUGGAGAAUGGCAACAAAGGCGAAUCGAGGAAAUUGAAAAAUACGUCAGUUGUCAGUCGUUUACUAACAGUGUGUGGGGAGGGACGUUUUGGCUAGUGGUGUCAAAAUAGUAAAAUAACGUGCGUUGUGAACAUAAACAUUGCUUACAUUUGUCGUUUGGUUCUGAUUAAAAUCGAUCUUUUUAAUUUAAUUGUUGUUCAGUGUUAAAAAGACGUUAGUUUUUCGACGUUUGCAACACGAAGAAAUUAAUAACUCUGAAAGCUAUGGGUGUGUUGCCGGGAUAUGACAAAUUACCCAUUGCCCCUCCUUAAUAGUUGUCUGGACAAGAUUUAGGAUGAAGAAAUGAAAACUUUUUGCAAAUAUCCAUGUCCUGCAAUAUCAAAAACAUUACAUAUCGGU
rnacentral:lncRNA from 1 species